AGCAGCCGCGGUAAUUCCAGCUCCAAUAGCGUAUAUUAAAGUUGUUGCAGUUAAAAAGCUCGUAGUUGAAUUUCGGGGUUAGUAGACGGCAGUGUAGACGCCGGCAUUCACUAGGUUUACUGAUUCCUCCUUCCUGAUGAACUGUAAUGCCAUUGAUUUGGUGUUGCAGGGAAUCUGGACUGUUACUUUGAAAAAAUUAGAGUGUUUAAAGCAGGCUAACGCUUGAAUACAUUAGCAUGGAAUAAUGAAAUAGGACGUUCGAUCCUAUUUUGUUGGUUUCUAGGAUUGACGUA
rnacentral:rRNA from 1 species